rnacentral:rRNA from 1 species
UACGUAGGAGACGAGCGUUGUCCGGAAUUAUUGGGCGUAAAGGGUGCGUAGGCGGUUUGGUAAGUCUUAUGUGAAAUCUCCCGGCUCAACUGGGAGGGUGCAUCGAAAACUGGCAGGCUUGAGGCAGGGAGAGGGAUGUGGAAUUCCAGGUGUAGUGGUGAAAUGCGUAGAUAUCAAGAGGAACACCAGUGGCGAAGGCGAGUCCCUGGACAACACCUGACACUGAGGCACGCAAGCUAGGGGAGCAAACAGG